UUAACGCCUUCUGACGGCAAAAUUAUUAUCCGCCAUAUUUUUACGUAUAAUAGAUGCGUGUAGAGUAUGCGCAGUGAACUUAAACAACCAAUGACAGAAAUCAAAGGUUAGAGACUUUAAACAGAAAAUGUUGCUGACAUUGAGACCAGAUCAUAAGAAACAUGUGCUAUUUCUUAUAGAGCAAACACCUCAAGUGUUACAGGAUUUUUGCAAACUUGCUUUAGAUUAUUUACAAAAAGGCCCUAACAUGAAAUUGUACUAUGCGGCUGCCCAAAAACUUGAGGUAGAAGUGGAUGUUAUAAAAAAUUCAGUAGAAGGUCUUAUCAACUUAUUAUUAGAAAGUUGCAAUCAUAAGUUAAGUAACGAAGACUUUCGAGAUUCUAUUAUAGCAUUAGGUUUUUCUGAAGAAAAUGAAGCAAUUUUAAGUAAGCUGUAUAUUACAAAGAACAAAGAGAUAUCCAAUAUUUUAUCAGCUACAGGUUUUAAAAUACCAGAAUACCAUGAUCUUGAGUGGCGUUUUGAAGUACAGACUGCUUCAAGGACUCUGUUAAAACAAGUUUCGCCAUUGAUUACGUUAGAUUUAACAUUGAAAAAUAAUGAAAACAUGGAACAUAUUCUACUCCAAACAGAUCCUGUCAAUUUACUACAUAUGGCUCAAGAAUUAGAAGAAGCUUUGAAGGAGGGUUAUAGUCAACACACACGUCAAGUUUCUAGAGUAGCAAAAUAAACUAAAAUUUAACUAAAACAAAUCAGUAAAAGAAUUAUUAUGUUCUGAAACUAUGGAGAACUAGAUCAGAAAUUUUAAUAUCAAAAAUGAAAAUAAGAAAAUGUAUUAGUACAGGAAAUAUGGAAGGAAACUCAAUAAAUCUAAUAAAUGUCAGUGAUUUUGUACCUGGAUUAAAUGGAACAAUAAUAAACAAAAUUAUAAAUCAUUAUAAAUCAUUUACAACUA